rnacentral:rRNA from 1 species
AUACGGAGGAUCCGAGCGUUAUCCGGAUUUAUUGGGUUUAAAGGGAGCGUAGGUGGGAUAUUAAGUCAGCUGUGAAAGUUUGGGGCUCAACCUUAAAAUUGCAGUUGAUACUGGUUUCCUUAAGUACGGUAUAGGUGGGCGGAAUUCGUGGUGUAGCGGUGAAAUGCUUAGAUAUCACGAAGAACUCCGAUCGCGAAGGCAGCUCACCGGGCCGGAACUGACACUGAUGCUCGAAAGUGCGGGUAUCAAACAGGAUUAGAUACCCUGGUAGUCCGCACAGUAAACGAUGAAUACUCGCUGUUUGCGAUACACUGUAAGCGGCCAAGCGAAAGCGUUAAGUAUUCCACCUGGGGAGUACGCCGGCAACGGUGAAACUCAAAUGAAUUGGCGGGG